AAUAAUUUUAAAGUACAUUACAGGUUAAAUUCUUUAGAUCCAUCUCAUUCUAAUUAUUCAUGUCUAGGAAAAUCUAUUAUGCAUUGCACAUUGAAUCUUUUUUCGUACUGAAGCUGUAACCUUAAUUACUGCAAAAACAUUUUGAAGCCCUAUACUCUUACACUAAUUAUCAAUUGGAGUAUUAAUUGAAAAAACGAAAAAGCUACUUGAGAAAGAAGCAGACAGAAGGGUUGCAUUGUGCAUUUGAAGGUUAUACUGUCAAACUGACUGAAAAAGAACGAAAUAAGGAAGUGAAAAAAUGAAGAUAGCGUGGCUCAUUGGCUGGUCAAUUCCCAUGAUGCAAGGCGGUAAAUAAUGUAUAAAUUUGCCGAUAAUUUCGUUCGAAAUACAAAUGUAACUUCAUGAAUUUUGUUUUUUUUAUGUGUCUGCUUAGAAUGUAGUGUUUUGUUGCGUGGUAAUUGUCAUUGUUGUGCCGGUUUACCAUUGUAACCUUGAGUUAAAUGAGUGUUACGUUUUAUAAAACGAGCUGGAUUAAUUGGU